UAAUUUAGUCCCGCUUUUACCUGCGCGGCAAACGGGCGUCACUUUGUAACACGUGUUAUAAUGCUCGCCUAGCUGCUAGCGUGGAACCCCCUCAUACUCUGACUGGGUAGUUGUCCUUACCUAGCUACUGCACAUGUGCAAGUCCCAACAAAGAUGGAAAAGAAGUGAGAUGCCUCACUCUGUAGCCAAAACGGAGAUCUCAACACACAGGGUAAAAAGAAGAGAAGCAGCAAUGUGUAUUAAACAAAAAUAUAUUUUUUGAAAAUAAACCUUAUAAACCUACUCUGAUAUAACCUCUAAGUACAAUUACGAACCUGAAAUUGAUCAUAAUAAGCACUUUAACAGCAUUUCAACUUUUGACUAAGUCACAAAAU